CGGCCCGUAGCUCAGCGGUCGAGAGCGCCCGGCUGUAGAACGGGCGGUCCCGGGUUCGAAUCCCGGCGGGCCGA
rnacentral:ncRNA from 21 species